GGAGCCAUUACAGCGUUUUCUGAUCCUUCCUCCCACGCUCGCAGCAUCCAUCAGCAGCUUUUCAAGAUGGCAGACACCCACUCACCCACCCCCUCUCUCCGGUCGACAAGGUAGUCAGCGCUCUUCAACAACAAGUGAAGAAGGACAUCCCCAGCCACGAAGCAGGCGUAUGUCCGCAUCCAAAAAGGCAAUCAAAGAGCGGGUGCGCCUCUCGGGUAAGACCGAUGGUGCGGGUGAUGCAGCCUCUUGCCUUGCCCGUCAGCCCGAGAACACAGCUCCACCCAUGGAAGCUGCAGCGCGAGCUUACACUGCCGGCUUUACUGCUCGGGAUGGUGAGAAGAGCGAGCUGACCCGCAAAGACGGAAGAAAAGCGCACGAAAUGCUCGCAAAGGGCAAAGCCCCUUCAGCCUAGCCACUCAUGUCGUGCGGCGCUGCGUUCGUUGCGUCAAGGACAGGGUGCAGGCCACGGGCAACCCCCUUUGACCUGUGCGUGCUACCGCUCGGUACAAGCACCGGAUUGUCCGAUAUCGUGUCUUGCGGAGACUAGGCGACCACCGGCAAGCUGGUCGAGAGGUUCACGGUGCCCCGCUACUCACCUGCAACGGAGUUGGCGUAUCUGAAGAGUCGUCUGUGCGGUGCGUCGAUAACGAAGGAUGGCGUGCUCGAAGACCGCUCCAGCGAUAACGCCUUUCAGGGUUUCUUCCGCACCUGCGCAAACAAGUUUAUGCUUGUGAAGGCGGCUCCUCCUUGGAGGGAGGCGACAACGCCAACGGUGAACAACACGUCGAGGCCGCGGAUAUGGCGAAUACCGAAGCUGUAAUCAUGGAGUUCCUGCGGCGGGGAACGAUUUGCGCAAAGAACCUGCCAGGCCGAGGUCGAGGCAACGCCCGGCGCGGCCGAGACGGCAGCCGUCGACGUGACAACCAGACGCCUCGGUACCGCGACGGAAGUGAUGCGGCCGCUGAAUCCUCCAAGGAUGGGGCCACCGAUCUUGCAUUGGAAAAGAACGGGUGUGAGCCCCUGCGAGCGAGGAGGUGGAGGCGCAGCCGCCGAAUGCCCUUCGGUGGAGCCCGUGCUGAAAGGUGGACGCUGCUGCACGGCUUGCGGCCGCGCUCCGCUUUGGCUGUGUUGGAAAUGGAGCACCGCGCACCACUGCGGAUGCCCAUCUCUUCCCUGCUGCUCACACGCCACCACGGGAUCGCUGGCGUCAUCGAGGAGGGUGAGCACGGAGGCUCCGGAGCUGCACAUCUUUGACGCAGCACCAGCGUAAGAGGUGCGCAAGCAUCUAAAGAAAACGCUUUCUGCGCAUUGGUCAGGCAUCGCAGCGCCCGUCAGUGGAUGUGCCCGGCAGAAGCGCGACAGUGGCGGCGGAAAACUUUUCUAGGAUCGCCACGGUUUGCGCCGGACAUCUAGGCGCGGACGUGGGGCGCGCCGACUCCACCGCUCGCCGGUCGCGCGUUUUCCUGACGGAUGUGCUUCAGCACUAUCACGUAAACAGCUCUGGAAGCCAGCGCGCGCGCUGCUCGACCGAUGCCCCUCGACAGUAGACUGUGGCGACGCAGACGCCGGCUUUUUUUUUGGGGGGGCGGAAGCGCUUCCGAUACGAAAUGUAUUGACGAGCUGCUCCGCAAGGUCACGUAGGUAGGGGGCGCUUGCGCACACGGCACACGGUGAAGCCCGCGAAACCCAGGCUGGGGGGAGGGCGGGAGCCGCGCGUUGGCAAUCUGCAGGCCUGGGGGUGCACGGUGCAAACGUUUUUUCUGUCUCUGAAGUGAAGGGGAGGCGGAGGAGGAUCCCCGGGCCGAAUAUGCACUCUGUCACCGGCAAGGAAGACUUCCCACCAUUGACGAACCCCGAGAAGGCGGGAGCGUGUACACGAGGGCUGCGGAACGCCUAGCACACUAUCCCACCGUCCGUUUUUUUUUUGAUGCGUUUGAAGCUGCUAGUCCGCUUCGGUGAAGCGGUUCGUGAUGCACUUGUUCCGCGGUUGACCUCGUAUGGGUGUCUGCGCCUGACAGCACGGCCAACAGGUGCGCGAUGGAGCGCGGCCGUGGGCCCGGGUAUCACACGCAUGAUCGUGGGCAUGCCGACCGCCGCGACAAUCCUCACCGGUAUCACCGGCACGAUGCUUGCCACGAGGGAAGGCUACAAGCAAGUUUUGCUUUCAGCCGUACGCGCAAUCCUCAGAUGUGUUGGACAGACGAACCUGCUGCCAUCCCCCAGACAGAGGAACUAGGGCGCAAAAGGAAUACGGGGCGACUGCAGGUGGCACACGAUGAGCUGAGCUUUCGUGAGGCCAAACAUAUAUAUAUGUAUUUCCGUGGCGGCACGGCCGUGAGCGAUAUUCGCCUCGCACUCACUCCAUUCAGUGGCAAAGCCGGCGUUAGCGAUGCGCGCCGAAGCCUUUACCUGCGGUCUUGUUGCCUUUACGUGUCGCUGGCAAUGAAUGCUCUGUAUGCAGCUAUGAUGCGCCCACCCAACCUUUUUUUUCCCGGUUGUUGCUCGAGAGGGCAUCGUUGUGUCUACCGUCUGGUGGAUCGGGGCAGAUAACGGGUCUCACCGCUUCCGUACCUGGACCCUCACGCGCGAAGCCUGACGAGAGGUCAAGGCUCGCCGGCUCAUGCAGAACCCGUGGUGGCAGAUCUCACCUGAGAUGGACGUUGGUGACGACGGGCGAAACAUAUGGCUACAUCAAUGUCACUGACGCCUCGGCUGAGAGCUGGGGUGCCUUAACUCGCUGGCGCACCGGCGACGGUUUCCAGUGCCAGCAAAGGUUGGUGAGCAACCUUGAAGGCGAGCACAGCUCCCUACCGCGAAACGAAACCCUGCACUUCACGGCAAAGUAUUCGGUGCGCGCGGAUCCAGCGGCGGCGUUGAGACCCCUCGACCUGCUUUACCGCUGUUGUCCGGAAGAGGGUCAGAAGUGAGCUGUGAUGGCCGGCCGCAUCACCACUGUGCGUGCGCAACGACGACAGAGCGGUUACGGUGGGAUCGGGCGAGAAGACGUCGUGAACGCCCUGCGAGAGUGCAUGCACUCCCUUGUCCACAAGAAGAAUAUGCAGGUGGCAUUCUUCUACAUGGCAGGCGAAACCAAUCCCGCCGAUGGCCUCCCUCGCGGCAUUGACGCUUACUAACCCUGCACAGAGGAUCGGGCUCCCGUGCAAGCGACUUUGGACUUCCGAGACAGCCAAACACUCAUUGCUCCCCCGUACGGGUAAUCCUCUAGCUGACAAGAGAAACGGAGUGGCUACGGAUGGGGGUACUACCCGAGACUGCACUAGCGGGGUAGUCGUCCAUAAAUCUAUCGAGCAUCUCAAAGAAGCGUGAUGCCCCUCGAUGGGCAACAAACCGGUGAGGCCGUGCGAGACGUCUGCGCACCGCGUUUGUGGCCGAAGUGGCGCGUUCCCCUGAAUUCCCCCAUCCCCGCUGAGCAUCUUUCCACUUUCAAUCAGGAAAUCGGCAAUGAAUGGCAGCCCCCUCCCCUUCUGCCCCUC
rnacentral:misc_RNA from 1 species